CCUACGGGGGGCAGCAGUGGGGAAUAUUGGACAAUGGGGGCAACCCUGAUCCAGCCAUGCCGCGUGUGUGAAGAAGGCCCUCGGGUUGUAAAGCACUUUCAGUGAGGAAGAACGCCUGGUGGUUAAUACCCAUCAGGAAAGACAUCACUCACAGAAGAAGCACCGGCUAACUCCGUGCCAGCAGCCGCGGUAAUACGGAGGGUGCGAGCGUUAAUCGGAAUUACUGCGCGUAAAGCGCGCGUAGGUGGCUUGAUAAGCCGGUUGUGAAAGCCCCGGGCUCAACCUGGGAACGGCAUCCGGAACUGUCAAGCUAGAGUGCAGGAGAGGAAGGUAGAAUUCCCGGUGUAGCGGUGAAAUGCGUAGAGAUCGGGAGGAAUACCAGUGGCGAAGGCGGCCUUCUGGACUGACACUGACACUGAGGUGCGAAAGCGUGGGUAGCAAACAGGAUUAGAUACCCCUGUAGUC
rnacentral:rRNA from 1 species